rnacentral:misc_RNA from 1 species
GAUGAAGAACGCAGCGAAAUGCGAUAAGUAAUGUGAAUUGCAGAAUUCAGUGAAUCAUCGAAUCUUUGAACGCACAUUGCGCCCUCUGGUAUUCCGGGGGGCAUGCCUGUUCGAGCGUCAUUAUAACCACUCAAGCUCUCGCUUGGUAUUGGGGUUCGCGGUUUCGCGGCCCCUAAAAUCAGUGGCGGUGCCUGUCGGCUCUACGCGUAGUAAUACUUCUCGCGAUUGAGUUCGAUAGGUCUACUUGCCAGUAACCCCCAAUUUUUACAGGUUGACUUCGGAUCAGGUAGGGAUACCCGCUGAACUUAAGCAUAUCAAUAAGCGGAGGA